AUUUGGUAUCUUGGAUUCAAAAGAGGCGUUCCUGCAAAGCACUUUCUUUGUGCUCAGUAUCGGAUUGGUCCCUUUGAUGUAUGGAUUCGUAACAGGUAAUCUGAGCCACGCUUUCUUCUUCAUUUUUGUCUCUAUGCCAAAUUGGGAUAUUUCUGGAAUUUAACUGCCUUGCUGAGUGUUUACGUGUUUUUUACUGCAGUGAAUUUCUAUUGCCACUAUGAGGUUUGUGUUGCAAUAGCCAUUGCUUAUUCGGUGUUACCGGUUCGUCUGAAUUUCGAUAAGCAAUGCCUCUUUGUUCAAAAAUCUGAGAAAACAUGUCGCACAAAGUGUCUAAAUUGGUUGUUGUGGCUCACUUGUGAUCUUGAUAUUGUUACAAAUUACAAACAUGUCGCACAAAGUGUCUGAAUUCAUUUUUUUGCAGGUUAUGGUUCAUGGUAAUUUGGUGAGAGAAAUAUUAGUUAAGAAUGUAUCUUAAUAAUUCUGGCUGACUCAUUCCUUUGUCUUGACUAGUCAAAGGUACAAUGGAUUGGAUAUUCUCUGCACGGGUUGAUUUUGAUCGGAAGAAUGGAAUUGAUGGAGAAGUAUCGUUUCUGCUGUGAAGAAAACGAGUCUGUGUCGGGGCCUCGCCUCCAGGUUCAACAGCUGCGGCAGGGAUGGCAUCCAUAACACAUUGCAUUAUCUUAGGUCCCCUAGAGCCCAAAACAUUCAGAUCAGAUUGAGAACAUCGCACGAUGGAUAGCUCGUCUGCAGAAACUCUUGGAGACACUUGCUGAGACUAACUAGCUUGGUCGAACGAGACUUUGCAACUUUGGCUCCAUAAAAUGGAGGGUGUGCAUCAUACACGGUAAAUUUGGUGCCCAGAAAGUUUGAUCUCAAUUUCCCAACAUAGGUGAUACUACCUCUUGAUACAUCAUCAAGGUUUAGAGAUAUGAUAUAGUCAGUGUGGGUUACACGCCGACACUUGCGUGCAGCAAGAAGGAAUUUACCGUCAUCAGUUGAGGCUUGGUUUAAACAGAGAAAAAGAUAAUAUGUUUGACAGUUAAGAUUUCAUUUGAUAUAUCAUUGAAUGAGAGAGUCCCAUCUGUUGCCAUCUGAUUGCAGGAGUCUCUGACUGAACCGCGUGAUAUUGAAUGAGAUUCAUGAUACUCGCAUAUGAUGAAUGGAUGCAGUAACAGGUCUGAUGCAGAAGGUGUUAAAUCCGGUUCCUUGUGAAAGCAUUUCAACAAAAAGUCCUUCGCCUCAGCAGACAGUUGUUCAGGUAUUGGUUAACUCCCCUUGGUAGCUUGGUCAUGAGCAAAUGGAGAUUAAUUGGUGAAGGGUUGUAAUUUGGAAACACUUGAACGGUUGUGAUCUGUUUUAGCCUUGUCAGUACAGUCAUUUGCAAUGCCAUUUGCAGGUUCAGGUUGGUUGAUUUGUUUGGCAUGUGGAGCAGCAGGGCUUAAAUGCAAGACAUGUUUGAUGUAAAUGAGGUUUUGUACCAGCUGGAUGAAUCAAAAUCAAAGGCGAGGUAGUCAUGAUCAAGGUUGACUUAUCCAUCAGUUCAUGCUUUUUAUUCUAGCUCUCAGGUUAUUGAAGUUUACAAGCAUGAGGAGAAGUGUAUCAAUUGCUGGUUUGGUUGCUAGCACAGAGAUGGAUCGCUUGACCCCUUAUUACAGGAAAGACAUAGCUUAGCACAGUUGAUAAUGGAGAGCUCUGUGCGUAGUGCGAUCGAUACUGUGCAAUCGCUUAGUUAUGUUAGUCAGAUAACUCAAGGACUGAGUUGGCAUUAUCGGAUCUGUUCUUACUGAGUGUGACAGAGCCAAUACUCUGGUUCUUCCAGUUCUACACAAGAAACUAUGAGGUAUCUAGAAAACAAACGUAUGAGUUAGAGCUUGAUCAGCUGAAGAUCACUCAUUUUAGGAGUCAUACUAGACAUAGGUGCGUAAAACUGAUUAACAUAUAUUUCUUCUUAUCAAGUUAGGAGCUGUCUUAGCUAGCUCAGUAGCCUCAAUACUUGCUAGGCAGUCAUAAGAUAUCUCACUCUGCUCAGAAUACAUUUGACGCAUGACUUGUCUUUCAUAUUAGCUGUAGCGUCAUCCGGAUAUCAGAGCUGAUACUUAUGUUCACUCUACUGUCUUCUUUUUUAUGCUCAGAAACUGCUACCAUUGAAUUGUUGUAACAUACACUAGCAGGUAGUGCACACUUGAACUUCAGAUAAUUCAAAAUCCAGUAUCCAUAUAUUUUACAUAUCAAGUCGAUCAACAAGCCCAUAGAGUUCAUGCCUACAAAGGACAGUGGAAGGUAUACCUGAGAUACCACUCUAAAGGGUCUACCUUCCCCAACUGAGGUCUGGUGGAUGAGCAGAAAUCAGAGCAUCAGACAGAUCUCUUAAUUUGAAUGAGAACGAAGCCUCUGAAUGAGACAGCAACGUAUCCAAUAGAGACUAAUUAAUUUUCGGCUACUUUAGGCGUCACAGCAUUAUCGAGUAUACUGGGUAAUGCACUGAUGAUGCUCUGAGUCUCGUGUAUGCGCUAGCUUCGCAAUAGCGUAUUUGACCGCGCAGACGACCAUGUGGCGGUCUUGAUGGGUAAAUGGUGUGGAUUAUUUGUAUCCUGGAGUAUACUGGCUUGUGGCACUGUCCAUAUUUGCGCUAGUUGUUGUCUGCUUGAGUGAACAUCUUGGACUAUAGACUAUCUAUCAGAGUUUAGAGUGGUGCGUAGAAAGCCAUUUCUCUCAUUAAGUCUUACCUAUAGACGCUCUAUUGUGGCAGGUUAUUGAGCCGUACAGAUGAAUAUCUCAAGCUACAUCAUCAGAGCUUGGAGAAGGCUUGCCUAUGGUAUUCGAGAGAGAUGAUGAUACUCGUGUUUAGAACGAAUACAACACCAUCAAACCUACCCAAGAAAACAUACCCAAACCAGAACAAAGUGCUAAACAUGGAGCAACGACAUCAUGCCAGAAAGGAACUGAUCGAAUCCAAAUGUGGUGACAUGGACAUACUUCAGUCAGAUUUCUAAUGCAUUAGGUCUCUGCUUAGCAAAACCAAUGUAGUGCCUCACCUAGCCAUCAGCAGCAAACAACAAAUGUUAAAAUCAGUUAACAUUGUUGCUUCGAACCUCACGCAGAACAGGGCAAGGACUGCAUUAAUAAAUAUUUUCCAUUCAUCUNNNNNNNNNNNNNNNNNNNNNNNNNUGAACAACUGUCUGCUGAGAGCGAAGGAUCUUUUGCUCUGAAAGGCUUUCACAGGAACCGAUUUAUUUAACACCUUCUGAUCGAAGACUGCGCUGUUUACUUGCAUCCAUUCAUCAUCAUGGAGUAUCAUGACAUCUCAAUUCAAUAUCACGCGUUCAGUCAGAGUACUCCUGCAUCGGAUGGCAAAGCUUGCGACUGUCUCUCAUUCAGUGUAUAUCAAAUGAAAUCUUAACUGUCAAACAUAUUAUCUUUUCUCUCUGUUUAAACCAAGCGCUCAACUGAUGACGGUAAUUCCUUUCUUGCUGCACGCAUGUGCGUGCAACCACACUGGAUAUUCAUAUCUCUUAAACUUGGUGAUGUAUCAAGAGGUAGUAGCACCUGAUGUUGGGAAAUUGAGAUUCAACUUUUACUGGGCACAAUUACUCGUGUAUGACACACCCUCCAUAUUUAUGUGACAAAGUUUGAAAGUUCUCGUCGACCAGCUAGUCAGUCUCAGCAAGUGUCUCCAAGAGUUUCCUGCAGGACGAUAUCCCAUCGUGCUGUCUCAAUGAUGCUGAAUGUUUUGGCUGUCUAGGCGGACCUAAGAUAUGCAAUGUGUUAUGGAUGCCAUCCACUUGCAGCUGUUGAAUUCCGGAGGCGAGGCCAACGACACAGACUGCGUUUUCUUCUAGCAGGACUGAUACUCCUCCUCACAUUCCAUUCUGUCGCCGAUCAAAUUCAACCCCGUGCAGCAGAAUCUCCAAUCCAUUUCCUUUUGACUAGGUCAAGGGACAAGGAAUGAGUCAAGCACGAAUUAUUUAAGAUUACAUUCUUAACUAAAUUUCUCUGCACCAAAAUUACCAUGAACCGAUAACUACAAAGAUUAAACCCAAAUCACAUUUGGUCACUAUCAAAACCUGUUGCCAUUACAGUGAGUUUCCUAAAUUCUGCUAGCAAGGCAACUUGGAAGACAAUUUCAACUAACAGUGCCCAACAUGGUUGAACCACAUUCAAGCACCUCUGUGGAACAAAUUUCAUUGAGCAUUCACCUGCACACAGAAAGACCAUCACCAAGUUAAACUUAUAACUAUUUCCCACUUUAAGCGCUUACAUGUUUUAUUAACAUUACACCUCAAUAAAGUAGCAUACAUGGUAGCUUACCCUGGUGGAGGAUUCAACAUGGUUCACACAGGUGUGGGCACUGCGAACCACACCAUAUGACCAAGUCUGAAUCUGAAAAGCAGGGAUUCUAAAGCAGUGGAUCCUCAACACGUGGAAAAACCCCUGUUUCCAUAGCCUGACCAAAAGUGCUCACUAUUGAGUUAUAGCCACCAGUCUAAGCAUAUUUCGAAACCUAUGUCAGCACAUUGCAUUUGCAAUCCAUCCAAACAAGUGAACAAACCUUUUGAAAUUCAAGAGGUCCAGGAUAGGUCUUUGGCUCAACGUCCAACCUGCCAUCGAGAGUCCAUUAUCCAAGGAUAAUUGCAAAACCAUCUUCAUACCUGUUAGCUGCAUCACCAUACGACCAUAUCAAGUUUCAAGCUGGCAAUGGGUUCUAAACAGAUAGCAGUGUAACCCCACAGUGGUAAACUUUCCUAUAGCAGACAACUAAUUCCAUCAGGAACACAACAAUCACAACUACCUAAACCAUUUCAAACCAACUGGAGCAGUUUUCCAAAAAAAGGAAUACAAAUCCUGUCAUGCAACACAAAUGAACAAACUCAGCAGUGCGUAACAUAGAGCGUAAACCACAACAACUUAAAGUACAGGCAUGGGACCUAACAUGUUGGCUUGCCUUCAAACAAGCAAAAAGUACGUGCAGUCAGCGGUUAUAGUGCAAACAAACACCUGUAAAGGAUUUAGGCUACAGUGACAUCAAUGCACCUUGAGCACUACCUUGCUGCCAUUAAUCCAGGAUGGGCCUUGCUACCAGACAGGACCUGCACACAUGUAUCAAAACCAUCCUGGCAUUAAUGAACAACUCCAGCCACAUCAGGAUUAUAUUUCCAGUUCAGAAUAGAUACCUUCAUAUCGUCCACAUGCUUAUAGGAGCCAUAACACUUUGCAUUUGCCUGGACCUCACCAUGGCAUUCUCACACCAACCUUUAUGCAUUAUCAUUGCCUUUCCUUAAGCCAAACCAAGAAUUGUGAUAUAACCUGCAGCAAAAUAACAACAACAUGUUCAUCAGCAAACAAACCUUUACAAAAACCAACCCUAUGUUCUUAUCUGAUAGAAGCACAACAUCAACAACAGUCCAGUUUGCAAAAGCCAUAUUCAAACAUUCUGCGUCAUCAUCCUACUGAUCCAGCAAACCGAUUAACAAGGCUCCAAGAACCAUUGCAGCACUAUUUAGACAUUUCAAGUAGGGAAGAAUUCACCAUUGAAACGACUAAAAUUCAAGGGUUAGUUUUCAGGGUCCAAGCAUCCUGAGGACAUGUCCUGAACUAUCUCAUUCUUCCACCGUUUAGGCCAUAAGAACCUGCAUACUGUCAAGUACUAGACUAGUCAAAGACUUCAAUGAGCAAUGGCAUACAUUCAAGCAUUACAUACCAGUUCAGGGCCCAUGUUUGGUUGCAAGGAAAAUCCUGGGUAAAUUCAAAAGUUGACAUAAUUGGCAUAAUUUAUGGCAGAAAUCCAUGUGUGACGAGAUGUGGAUGUUCCAUUCAGACCCCUCGCAGCGUUUAUGCAACAAACAAGUUAAAGUCAUAGAAAAACACAAGUUGUCACUACAAUAUGAAACCAACACCACACAACACCUAAAAUGACAAACUUGGUGUACUCAAACUGGACAGUGUCGAAAACUCACCGGAGUGGGCCAUGGCCAGGAAGAAGCUAGUCAGAUUAGCAAGGUUGCAUUAUCAUUCACAUCACCGCUGCGAAAAAAGGUGAUGAUUAACAAGCUGAAGAACCAAAAUUGAAUUCAUCAGACACCAUUUUCACGCAGUUAAAAAGGUAAGUAAUCAGCCAAAGCAGUAAAUUUCAGAAAUUCCAAUUUGGGAUGAAAGACAAAACAAAAGGAAGGCACAUGCUCGGUUACCUGUUCCAGAUCCAAGUAUCAAAACGAGAUGGACCAAACGCUGGCAUACAAAAAAUGAACUUUGCAGGAACGCCUCUAUUGAACAUUCAAGAGACCCCCUUGGAAACCGCUAAUCAAGGAACAUUAAUAGAGAGGGGAGAGAAAAUCAUUAGAGGGACGACAGAAAAAAAACUUGGAGGCGAAAAAGAGACUAUAACCCUAACCCCAAAAAAUCAAGAAAACCAACAGAGAGACGAAAUCAGGAGCUUGCAAAACUCACCGCCGCCGUGACACUUUGUGAGAAUUCCUUUCCUUUAUUCCUUUUUAUUCAUUUUUUUCAUGUUGUUGAUAGAGAUUUCGUUUUGGAGAUGCGAUGGGACGAUUUUGAGAGAGAGAGGUUUGGUACGCCGUUUGGAGACGAUUGGGUAAGGUUGAGGUGAUAGCGAUUCUGAGAGCAGAGAGAAGUCGCCUGGAGAGAGUUUUGAAGUUCGAGUGUAAAUUCGUGGGGAUUGUGGGAGGCGGAAGACGGAGUUGUCUUCUGCUUAUGGUUUUCUUUUUUUCUUUUGCUUUAAUUUAUUUUUAUCAGAAUAAGUUUUUAAAAAACAUUACAAGAAUUUUGUUACAAUUCCUAAUAAGUAAUAAGUGUUUCCAUUUGUUUCCAAUUCUAUUCCCUGGAAGAAACCCACAGCCAGGCGCUGGGUUUAAACUACGGUAGGGUCUAACAGACUUUUUCUUAUUUUCAGUUUUAUUUCUAAGUUAAUCCUAUUUUCGGUAUUAUAUAUUAAGGUAGCAUUCAAAAUAACAACUAACCAUUGAGUGGUCUGGUGGAGAAGGGUAGUAUCAUAGUCUUGAGUAGAGGUGGGUUCAAUACUCACUGUGGUGGCACUUUUUUUGGCAUUUUAUUUCUUUUAGCUAUUUUACUUUCUUUUAGCAUUUUCAUUUCUUUUUUGUUUAUGCCUUUAUUAUACUCAUAGUUUCAUUUGUUCAUCAUGUAAAUUUCAUUUUCUUUUAAUUUCAAUCAUUUCAUUUCAAAACCAUUUUUAACUUAUAAAAAUCAUAUUUUUCUUCGAUUUAACAUCAGCCCAUUUUUCCACAACCCUUUGAUAAGUCAUUUGCUUUUAUAAGCAUCCCAUCAACCUCACAUAGCUUACUCUUAGGGCGUUCUUACAAUGAGCCGGUUCCUUUGAUUACACUCAUACAUUGCAUAUUUGUUGUUUGGACCCGAUUUAAUUAUUCCAAUACUUUGAUAUCCCCAAUUCUAACAAAUCGAUCCCUCUCCCUGAAAUGUUUAAUAUUUAUUCUUUCAUUCUUUAUUCAUCUGUUAAUACAAGAAUUAAAAUGAGCAUUCGAUAACCAUUUCCAAAGCAAGAUCAAAACCUCGAUCCACGUCGAGUUAAUCAUAUUUUGUAUCUCUCUCUUGUUCUUUUUUAGGUAUUGGUUAACUCCCCUUGGUAGCUUGGUCAUGAGCAAAUGGAGGUUAAUUGGUGAAGGGUUGUAAUUUGGAAACACUUGAACGGUUGUGAUCUGUUUUAGCCUUGUCAGUACAGUCAUUUGCAGGUUCAGGUUGGUUGAUUUGUUUGGCAUGUGGAGCAGCAGGGCUUAAAUGCAAGACCUGUUUGAUGUAAAUGAG
rnacentral:lncRNA from 1 species